GGUUGUGAAGAUGAGAAAAGAAGUGAAGAAGAGAAUCCGAGUUUUUAUCUGAAAACUUGUCAGGAGUGUGAGCAGACUGGAGUCAAAAAAGGGUACUGAAGAUGCACUGUUAAAAAACCAGAAACAGGCACAACAAUUGCUUGAAGAAAUCCAUGCCAUGAAGGAACCCAGAGCAGCUCGAUGUGGGGAACACAGGUCCUGAGCCACAGAGACAAGGACCUGGUCACGGGGACCUCCUCUCGGCCCUCAGAUGAUCUGGUCCCUGAGAAUAAGCGGUGCACCCACACCUUCUCCUCCCUCCCACCUUCCUGCCCUUUCUCUCUCAUAAGUAGGAAUUUUCACUCCUUUUUUCUUUAGAAGAUGGUUUCUAGCUCCCCAAUGCUCAGAGAAUAUCACUGACACAAACCUCCUGACAUCCUGGCAGC